UCAAGGACACAGUGCCCGAGGUAUUGGAGAAGGUAGGGAUCACACCUUCAGGGCUCCAUUGUUCCUAGGAGCGUAAUAAGCCAAGGUUGUCUCAGGUCAGGUAUAUAAACCGUGGCGUUCAUUCCAAUCAUCAGCAGACUGCUCCAUCUUCUCACUCAGUAAGCAGCAAGUCUCACGAAGGCAGCAUUAUGGGGUUUAUUAAAGUUACAAUGGAACUGGUCUUAUUAUGUGCAAUCCUGGGAGUUAUUCCUUCCAUGGUCAACGCCGGGCUUAUGGGUGAAGCCAUGGAAUUGCAGAAACGAAGUGGAAGUUAGUCGUACGCUCAGAGUUACACUACAACGACAACUGCUGCUCCAGUUUAUUACACCGAAGCCCCGAAGUACUACACCACUACAACUGCUGCUCCAGUUUACUACACCGAGGCACCAAA